ensembl:lncRNA
AAAAAAAAAAACGGGGGUGUGCGUGGCUUUGGGAUCAGUCUGAUGGCUGUUGUGCUCUAAGCCCGAUAUAAGAGCCCCCACCACCUUAUCUGUUCUUGUGACACUGCCUCAAUACACAGGUUGUGCUGACUUAAUCACAGCCUAAUCAGCUCAGGUGCUGCACGCUCCAAACACAGUGCUUUCUCACUGUGUUCUGGCCAGCUUCCUUGGAAGGCCAAAUGCAUUAAUGCCAUGACAGACCUGUAGUUAAAUUUGCCAAAUAUCUGUUUGACGGUUCUGAUUACCUACAACUUUCCUCCCUCUGUUGUCCGGUUAUCCUCAGGAUAUAAAACAUCUCCCUUCUGACUGGAUAUUGCUUAUCUCAUUUUGAUUAUUGUUCUCGACCCAGCAACAGCUAACAGUGCUGCUUGACACAGGUGCAUACAGCUGAUACCUUUGUAUUUGCUUUUGCAUUGGAAGAGAUUUACUUCCCUGUGUGAAGCAAUAGUAGCAGGCAGCCUGCUUACAAGACAAUUCCCACCGUCAGGAGACACGGGGAACAGCUUUGCUGCUCACGUCCCACGUUACUGUUUUGACUGCAGGCAAAAACAAACAAGCAAAAAAGCCUCCCAGUAAAUGUUUGAGAGCUGCUAAGGGGAAAAGGAAAAAAAGAAAGGAACAAAUAGCGCUGCUUUUCUCAGUUACAGCAGACUCGGGGUUUCUUUGCCCUCCUCGUUAGCGGGCGCUUUUCCCCGCACCACCUGCCGCCUCGUUCUUCCCGGGUACCGCUCUGGCUGCCAAGAAAGGAGAGAUUCUCCUCCAGACGGGAGCGCAGAUGAGACAAGGGAGGAAACGAGCUCAGGCUUUACACACGAGCAUCGCGCUCAGAUGCUUAAAAAUUCCUCCGGCCACCAGUUGCGCGAGCCGAGGAGACGAGUCCCGUCCGGAAUAAGCGGAAUGAAGACAUUCAAAGUGCCGAGGACGCCCGCGAGCAGAACUACUGCCGGCCGCUUCGGGCUCCGUGCGGAACGCCGGCAGCGCCACCCGCUCUCCGCGCUGCGCCACCACGGGGC